rnacentral:lncRNA from 1 species
GAAAACCCUAAAUCCAUCCCCCUUUUCCUAUUAUAAAUAUUCUCAAUCACAAUCAAUCUAUGCCAAAACAAUAGAUAGAGAAUGAUGAAAGAGAAAAAGCAUAGAAGAUGAAAGCAUGAGAUCUGGAAAUUUGUAUGUUCUCUUUGCAAAAUUGGUGUGAUCAUAUGCACCACUAUCAAGGAGGCUUACCUCUUUCUUCAAAAGAGACUUUUCACUCUUUUCCAUCUCAAUAUCAUAUCUUCUUGAUUCUUUCUACUCAAGCUUGAAAAAGGCUAGAUCCAGUCCUUCAACCCCAUUGGUAGGCUUUAUGUUGAAAAGGAGGAAUUAUCAUAAUAGUUAUAAAAGGUCAUGGGCAUGCCCAACUUCAGUUUUUCAAAGAUCCUGUGUGUAGUGGGUUAAGGGGAGUGUAGCGGUAUCCUACCUCUUUCUUUGGUUAUACAUUGGUUUAAGGUUUGUUUGUUUACCCGACAACUUUACCUCACUCCACUUUAAGUUUCUUUCUAAAUACGACUUUCAACUUUGAUAUUUUAUUCACUUUAACCUAUUCUGAAGACGUAUUAGCUUAUUGCGAUACAACAUAAGGGUCGGUAUGUAUUAGAAAGUUUAUUUUGGCUAUGAAGUUUAGGAAGUAAUCUUCACCCAUAGUUAUUAAAGGCGCUAGGCGCACUCAAGGCGCAUAGGCCUCGCCUGGGGCCUAGGCGCAAAGCGCAAAAAAAGUAAGGGUCGGAGAAAAAUAAACCGC